rnacentral:lncRNA from 1 species
GUAAGUAAUAAUCAAAGUGGAAAAGUUAUCUUUACAAUCUGCUUGGAAAAUGAAAGCCAAGGAAGAUCUGGGAUCCAGCUGGGAUACAAUAUAUCCGUAAACAUGAGUCACAGUGUGGCCUUGGCCUUGGCCAAUGUUUCCAAAUGUUUCCCACAGUUUCGGCUGGGCGAAAUCAAGUGUCAGGGAUACACAGAGAAGGGGUGGUACAUAUGUACAUAUCUCUUAUCAGGUUCAUAAUAAAACAAGAGCAAGAGCAACGAUCGCAUGGCAUUUGGGAGUCUGUGCCAUAGCCCGUACCCUCCUCGACUCAGACUCCUCGUAUUGCUUGGUGGGCCAAAAGACAUUGC